rnacentral:rRNA from 1 species
GAUGAACGCUGGCGGCGUGCCUAAUACAUGCAAGUCGAGCGAACAGACGAGGAGCUUGCUCCUCUGACGUUAGCGGCGGACGGGUGAGUAACACGUGUAUAACCUACCUAUAAGACUGGGAUAACUUCGGGAAACCGGAGCUAAUACCGGAUAAUAUAUUGAACCGCAUGGUUCAAUAGUGAAAGACGGUUUUGCCGUCACUUAUAGAUGGAUCCGCGCCGCAUUAGCUAGUUGGUAAGGUAACGGCUUACCAAGGCAACGAUGCGUAGCCGACCUGAGAGGGUGAUCGGCCACCCUGGAACUGGGCCACGGUCCAGGCUCCUACGGGAGGCCGCAGUAGGGAAUCUUCCGCAGUGGUCGAAAGCCUGGCGGAGCAGCGCCGCGUGAGUGAUGAAAGUCUUCCGAUCGUAAAACUCUGUUAUUAGGGAAGAACAAAUGUGUAAGUAACUAUGCACGUCUUGACGGUACCUAAUCAGAAAGCCACGGCUAACUACGUG